rnacentral:lncRNA from 1 species
CAAAUUUUGAUUAAUAAAUAUUAAGAUAUGUGGUGUAAUUAUUUCAAAAUUUACAUAAAUAAAUUAUCUCAUUUGUAAAUAGUUAUAUAUUUACUUUGCUCUAAUUGGAUUCUCUGAUGAUUGACACUCAAAUCACUCCCAACAUUGCACUUGCGAAAGUGUAAAAGGCUUGGCUAAAAAAAAUGUGGAAAAGGAAUGGCAACAAUAAGUGUCCCACCCCUUUUAUGGCAGAUAUUUGUUUACAUUAACAUUCUCUCAUUUUUUGACGAAAAUAUAGAGAAAAUGAAGUCUCAAACAAUCAAGAAUUUAAUAAAUUUUAUUCAGUUUAAUAGAAUUAAGCAAAAUUUCAGUAUUAUCUAUAAUAUUUUUAAAUUUCAACCCUUAUCGCUCCUUUGUUUUUUUUUUUAUUAUUUCCUGUUAGGCUAUACACUCC